AAAUCCUUCAACGGAUGUCAACAUCCGUUUAAGGGGAAACGGAUGUCGACAUCCGUUUCACCUUAAACGGAUGUUGACAUCCGUUGAAGGAUG
rnacentral:pre_miRNA from 1 species